GACGAACGCUGGCGGCGUGCUUAACACAUGCAAGUCGAACGGAAAGGCCCUGCUUUUGUGGGGUGCGCGAGUGGCGAACGGGUGAGUAACACGUGAGUAACCUGCCCUUGACUUUGGGAUAACUUCAGGAAACUGGGGCUAAUACCGGAUAGGAGCUCCUGCUGCAGGGUGGGGGUUGGAAUGUUUCGGGGGUUGGGGAUGGACUCGCGGCUUAUCAGCUUGUUGGUGGGGUAUUGGCUUACCAAGGCUUUGACGGGUAGCCGGCCUGAGGAGGUGACCGGCCACAUUGGGACUGAGAUACGGCCGAGACUCCUACGGUAGGCAGAAGUGGGGAAUAUUGCACAAUGGGCGGAAGCCUGAUGCAGCAACGCCGCGUGCGGGAUGACGGCCUUCGGGUUGUAAACCGCUUUCGCCUGUGACGAAGCGUGAGUGACGGUAAUGGGUAAAGAAGCACCGGCUAACUACGUG
rnacentral:rRNA from 1 species